rnacentral:lncRNA from 1 species
AAUGAAAACAAACUCCAAAAACCUCCAUUCCUCAUUGCAAUUCAUGGCUGGAACAAACAAAGGCCAAUCUCAAAGUGGAAACAUUCUAUGAGUCAAAACAAGCAUCUUUUGUGUUGGUCCAAAUCGGGUAAAAACUUUAAUGCACCUUCUCUCCUCCUUCCUAUCUCCAUUUUCGUUUUNCUUUCUCUACCAACACACCAUUCAUGUUUUCUUCCUCCAUACUACAGAAACAUAAACCCAAGAGACCAAAGUUCAAAUUCCAAAUCAACACAAGAACAAUAAACACAACAUAUGAUACUUCAACCCAACCAAAUCUUCCAUUUUUUCAAGCUCUUGUGCAAAAAACGAAAAUAACAUUAUACCAUUCAACUCAACCACUGUCCAGCCCCAAUAACAUCAUCAAAGUCUGGUUCCAAACUAGUUUCAAACAUCAAAACCGAAAUAUGAAGGAAAAGAGUCAAACCCAUAACACCCACACAUCAAGUUAAGCUUUAUUCAACCCAAAACUCACAUANAAUUCCAUUUUUAUCAACCAAACAAAUAAAAUGCAAAGAAAAACGUGAGGAACAGCAGCAAUGCAAGAGGAAACNAAAAUCUAAAGUCACUCAAACCCAACAACCACCAUAGAAAAGCAAAGACAAGCUUAAAAACUCAAGCUUCAAACAUCAAAAACAAGCAAAUGGAAGGAGGAAUGAAUGGAUUUUCACCACCAAUGAGUUAAGACAACCAAGAGUGAGUCAAGGGAAGAAGAAAAUCUUCAUAAUAUUCAUUGAAAAUGGUCCAAAACCGUGCACCAAGCAAGCACCCAUGAAAGCAUGUUCAAAACAAGAGAAACCCUAGGAAAAUGAACCAAAACCAUGAGCUAUGGGUCUCCCCUUUGUGUGGCUCNGUUUUCACACCCCAAAUACCAAGAGUUUCACAUUUGGUGGUGUCCAAACACUACAAGUCAGCCCUAAAGAGAUGCCACAUGGCCCCCACAAUUGGUUUUUUACAAAAAUGCCCCUAAAAGGGUCCAAAACACCUAAUUCUAAUCAAAGGCUUCUAGAAAACGAAAUUACAACUUUAAUUAAAAUCUAANUGACUAAAUAUUAAGUCUUGAAUGUGCCAUGCCAUAUCCUAAUGCUCCAGAUGAUAUUUCCACAAUUUCCCUGUAACCAAAAAUACGCUUAAUCAGCUCAAAAUAUCCAAAUUAGCGAAAAUACGAAUUUCCGACCAAAUUAAGCAGAAUUCAAAAAACGGGGAAAUAACAGACAAUUAAACACAAUUCCCUGGUUUAUUUAAGUGCAAUAAACUUAAUAUGGUUCAAGAAAUAACGAAUCAUCAAAAUAGACCACACUUAAUCUUUUGCACUCCUGGGCAAAACCAAGACGAAAACCAGGGAACUACUCAAACAUCAGGGAGGUGACACAGACUCGGCAGACAAANAACGAAGACUCACAAAACANAAACAGAGUUGCACAAUUCUCACAAAAUCUGGACAGUGAAAAGCAUAGGCAGAAUCCCACACAGAGUCAAUGAAAGCAGAUAGUCACAGAAUCAUCCAAANAGUUCAGUACAUNGAAAACAGUCAAUAAGUUCAAGANAUGAAUCAAAAGCAACAGAGCCUCACGGAUGCACACUAUCAGUGUUUCUCUCAAGUGUUUAAGGUAAAUCAAUGUCACUCAAUGCACUCAAGAAAGCAAACACAAAUAGACUUGGCAAGCCUCUAAUAUCAACACUCAAGCACAUACGCAUGUUCAAAUCAAAAGGUCUUUUCAUGGUUGUAAUGGGGCCAAGGACAAGGGAGGAUACAUCUGGAUNNNNNGCCAUGCCAUAUCCUAAUGCUCCAGAUGAUAUUUCCACAAUUUCCCUGUAACCAAAAAUACGCUUAAUCAGCUCAAAAUAUCCAAAUUAGCGAAAAUACGAAUUUCCGACCAAAUUAAGCAGAAUUCGAAAAACGGGGAAAUAACAGACAAUUAAACACAAUUCCCUGGUUUAUUUAAGUGCAAUAAACUUAAUAUGGUUCAAGAAAUAACGACUCAUCACUCUCCCAGCACUC